CCUACGGGAGGCAGCAGUGAGGAAUAUUGGUCAAUGGGCGUAAGCCUGAACCAGCCAAGUCGCGUGAGGGAUGAAGGUUCUAUGGAUCGUAAACCUCUUUUAUAAGGGAAUAAAGUGUGGGACGUGUCCUAUUUUGUAUGUACCUUAUGAAUAAGGAUCGGCUAACUCCGUGCCAGCAGCCGCGGUAAUACGGAGGAUCCGAGCGUUAUCCGGAUUUAUUGGGUUUAAAGGGUGCGUAGGCGGCCUUUUAAGUCAGCUGUGAAAGUCUGUGGCUCAACCAUAGAAUUGCCGUUGAAACUGGCGGGCUUGAGUACGGUAGAGGCAGGCGGAAUGCGUGGUGUAGCGGUGAAAUGCUUAGAUAUCACGAAGAACCCCGAUUGCGAAGGCAGCCUACCGAGCUAUGACUGACGCUGAGGCUCGAAAGCGUGGGGAUCAAACAGGAUUAGAUACCCCUGUAGUC
rnacentral:rRNA from 1 species